CCUACGGGGUCUGCAGUGGGGAAUAUUGGACAAUGGGCGAAAGCCUGAUCCAGCCAUGCCGCGUGUGUGAAGAAGGCCUUCUGGUUGUAAAGCACUUUCAGUGGGGAAGAAAGCCUUGGGGCUAAUACCCUCGAGGAAGGACAUCACCCACAGAAGAAGCACCGGCUAACUCCGUGCCAGCAGCCGCGGUAAUACGGAGGGUGCGAGCGUUAAUCGGAAUUACUGGGCGUAAAGCGCGCGUAGGCGGUCUGAUAAGCCGGUUGUGAAAGCCCCGGGCUCAACCUGGGAAUGGCAUCCGGAACUGUCAGGCUUGAGUGCAGGAGAGGAAGGUAGAAUUCCCGGUGUAGCGGUGAAAUGCGUAGAGAUCGGGAGGAAUACCAGUGGCGAAGGCGGCCUUCUGGACUGACACUGACGCUGAGGUGCGAAAGCGUGGGUAGCAAACAGGAUUAGAUACCCCAGUAGUC
rnacentral:rRNA from 1 species